AGAGUUUGAUCCUGGCUCAGGAUGAACGCUAGCGGCAGGCCUAACACAUGCAAGUCGAGGGAGAAGCCCUUUCGGGGGCAGAAACCGGCGCACGGGUGCGUAACGCGUAUGCAACCUACCUUUCACAGGGGGAUAGCCCGAAGAAAUUUGGAUUAAUACCCCAUAAUAUUAUUGGAUGGCAUCAUUUGAUAAUUAAAACUGCGGUGGUGAAAGAUGGGCAUGCGUCCUAUUAGCUAGUUGGAGUGGUAACGGCACCCCAAGGCUACGAUAGGUAGGGGUCCUGAGAGGGAGAUCCCCCACACUGGUACUGAGACAGGGACCAGACUCCUACGGGAGGCAGCAGUGAGGAAUAUUGGUCAAUGGUCGGAAGACUGAACCAGCCAUGCCGCGUGCAGGAAGAAUGCCUUAUGGGUUGUAAACUGCUUUUAUAUGGGAAGAAUAAGGUGUACGAGUACAUUGAUGACGGUACCAUAUGAAUAAGCAUCGGCUAACUCCGUGCCAGCAGCCGCGGUAAUACGGAGGAUGCGAGCGUUAUUCGGAAUCAUUGGGUUUAAAGGGUCUGUAGGCGGGCUAUUAAGUCAGGGGUGAAAGGUUUCAGCUUAACUGAGAAAUUGCCUUUGAUACUGGUAGUCUUGAAUAUCUGUGAAGUUCUUGGAAUGUGUAGUGUAGCGGUGAAAUGCUUAGAUAUUACACAGAACACCGAUUGCGAAGGCAGGGGACUAACAGACAAUUGACGCUGAGAGACGAAAGCGUGGGGAGCGAACAGGAUUAGAUACCCUGGUAGUCCACGCU
rnacentral:rRNA from 1 species